GGGGAGUAGCUCAGUUGGUUAGAGCGUCGGCCUGUCACGUCGAAGGUCGCGGGUUCAAGUCCCGUCUCUCC
rnacentral:tRNA from 1 species